GAUGAACGCUGGCGGCGUGCCUAAUACAUGCAAGUCGAGCGAAUGGAUUAAGAGCUUGCUCUUAUGAAGUUAGCGGCGGACGGGUGAGUAACACGUGGGUAACCUGCCCAUAAGACUGGGAUAACUCAGGGAAACCGGGGCUAAUACCGGAUAACACUUUGAACCGCAUGGUUCGAAAUUGAAAGGCGGCAUCGGCUGUCACCUAUGGAUGGACCCGCGGCGCAUUAGCUAGUUGGUGAGGUAACGGCUCACCAAGGCAACGAUGCGUAGCCGACCUGAGAGGGUGAUCGGCCACACUGGGACUGAGACACGGCCCAGACUCCUACGGGAGGCAGCAGUAGGGAAUCUUCCGCAAUGGACGAAAGUCUGACGGAGCAACGCCGCGUGAGUGAUGAAGGCUUUCGGGUCGUAAAACUCUGUUGUUAGGGAAGAACAAGUGCUAGUUGAAUAAGCUGGCACCUUGACGGUACCUAACCAGAAAGCCACGGCUAACUACGUGCCAGCCGCCGCGGUAA
rnacentral:rRNA from 1 species